rnacentral:rRNA from 1 species
GAUGAACGCUGGCGGCGUGCCUAAUACAUGCAAGUCGAGCGAACAGACGAGGAGCUUGCUCCUCUGACGUUAGCGGCGGACGGGUGAGUAACACGUGGAUAACCUACCUAUAAGACUGGGAUAACUUCGGGAAACCGGAGCUAAUACCGGAUAAUAUAUUGAACCGCAUGGUUCAAUAGUGAAAGACGGUUUUGCUGUCACUUAUAGAUGGAUCCGCGCCGCAUUAGCUAGUUGGUAAGGUAACGGCUUACCAAGGCAACGAUGCGUAGCCGACCUGAGAGGGUGGUCGGCCACACUGGAACUGAGACACGAUCCAGACUCCUACGGGAGGCAGCAGUAGGGAAUCUUCCGCAAUGGGCGAAAGCCUGACGGAGCAACGCCGCGUGAGUGAUGAAGGUCUUCGGAUCGUAAAACUCUGUUAUUAGGGAAGAACAAAUGUGUAAGUAACUAUGCACGUCUUGACGGUACCUAAUCAGAAAGCCACGGCUAACUACGUG